rnacentral:rRNA from 1 species
AGAGUUUGAUCAUGGCUCAGAGCGAACGCUGGCGGCAGGCCUAACACAUGCAAGUCGAGCGCCCCGCAAGGGGAGCGGCAGACGGGAGAGUAACACGUGGGAACGUACCCUUCGGUUCGGAACAACCCAGGGAAACUUGGGCUAAUACCGGAUACGUCCGUAAGGAGAAAGAUUCAUCGCCGAGGGAUCGGCCCGCGUCUGAUUAGCUAGUUGGUGAGGUAAUGGCUCACCAAGGCGACGAUCAGUAGCUGGUCUGAGAGGAUGAUCAGCCUCACUGGGACUGAGACACGGCCCAGACUCCUACGGGAGGCAGCAGUGGGGAAUAUUGGACAAUGGGCGCAAGCCUGAUCCAGCCAUGCCGCGUGGGUGAUGAAGGCCCUAGGGUUGUAAAGCCCUUUCGGCGGGGAAGAUAAUGACGGUACCCGCAGAAGAAGCCCCGGCUAACUUCGUGCCAGCAGCCGCGGUAAUACGAAGGGGGCUAGCGUUGCUCGGAAUCACUGGGCGUAAAGCGCACGUAGGCGGAUCGCUAAGUCAGGGGUGAAAUCCUGGAGCUCAACUCCAGAACUGCCUUUGAUACUGGCAAUCUUGAGUCCGGGAGAGGUGAGUGGAACUGCGAGUGUAGAGGUGAAAUUCGUAGAUAUUCGCAAGAACACCAGUGGCGAAGGCGGCUCACUGGCCCGGUACUGACGCUGAGGUGCGAAAGCGUGGGGGAGCAAACAGGAUUAGAUACCCUGGUAGUCCACGCCGUAAACGAUGGAUGCUAGCCGUUGGCGGGUUUACCCGUCAGUGGCGCAGCUAACGCAUUAAGCAUCCCGCCUGGGGAGUACGGUCGCAAGAUUAAAACUCAAAGGAAUUGACGGGGGCCCGCACAAGCGGUGGAGCAUGUGGUUUCAAUUCGAAGCAACGCGCAG